AGUGAACGCUGGCGGUAGGCCUAACACAUGCAAGUCGAACGGCAGCACAGUAAGAGCUUGCUCUUACGGGUGGCGAGUGGCGGACGGGUGAGGAAUACAUCGGAAUCUACUUUUUCGUGGGGGAUAACGUAGGGAAACUUACGCUAAUACCGCAUACGACCUACGGGUGAAAGCAGUGGAUCUUCGGACCUUGCGCGAUUGAAUGAGCCGAUGUCGGAUUAGCUAGUUGGCGGGGUAAAGGCCCACCAAGGCGACGAUCCGUAGCUGGUCUGAGAGGAUGAUCAGCCACACUGGAGCUGGGACACGGUCCAGACUCCUACGAGAGGCAGCAGUGGGGAAUAUUGGACAAUGGGCGCAAGCCUGAUCCAGCCAUACCGCGUGGGAGAAGAAGGCCUUCGGGUUGUAAAGCCCUUUUGUUGGGAAAGAAAAGCAGCAGGUUAAUACCCCGCUGUUCUGACGGUACCCAAAGAAUAAGCACCGGCUAACUUCGUG
rnacentral:rRNA from 1 species